rnacentral:rRNA from 1 species
AACGAACGCUGGCGGCAUGCCUAACACAUGCAAGUCGAACGAGACCUUCGGGUCUAGUGGCGCACGGGUGCGUAACGCGUGGGAAUCUGCCCUUGGGUCCGGAAUAACUCAGAGAAAUUUGAGCUAAUACCGGAUGAUGACGUAAGUCCAAAGAUUUAUCGCCCAGGGAUGAGCCCGCGUAGGAUUAGCUAGUUGGUGAGGUAAAGGCUCACCAGGGCGACGAUCCUUAGCGGUCUGAGAGGAUGAUCAGCCACACUGGGACUGAGACACGGCCCAGACUCCUACGGGAGGCAGCAGUGGGGAAUAUUGGACAAUGGGCGAAAGCCUGAUCCAGCAAUGCCGCGUGAGUGAUGAAGGCCUUAGGGUUGUAAAGCUCUUUUACCCGGGAUGAUAAUGACAGUACCGGGAGAAUAAGCCCCGGCUAACUCCGUGCCAGCCGCCGCGGUAA